UCAGUAGCUUUAGUCAUGCCCCAAAAGGCCUCUGAUCCAGUGCUUCACCAAGUACAGAUUGUGCCUGACUAUCUGGUGACCUUUGACAAUGGAGUGAAACAUCAGUGGACAAAGGAAGGGCAACGCUAUCUCGGCAAUGCUGUCUACCUGGACUUCUGCAAGGUCUUUGACAUGUUCCCCCGCUACAUCCUGGAGACACAUGGAUUUGAUGGCUUGACUAUUCAGUAGAUAAUGAAUUGAUUGGAUCGUCA